AAUCAGCGCUGUGUCGUGUGGAUCGGCGGACGAACCGACGGACGGUGCUUGUGUGCUUUCCGCCAUGGUAAAGGGUGACUCCCCCCAGCUUCCUUUCCUCCGAGCUCCCCCCACUUGGAUCCCGCACUCACCAAUUCACGUUGUUUGUCUUUUGGCGCUGCGCACGCGUGGAACUGUGGUUAAGAACGUAAAGCAGCGGGCGCUAGUUUUCACUGAAGCACUAGACAUUCUACGCAAUGUAAAAUAUUUAUGUAAAAUGCAAUUUUACAGUAAAUAUUUAAAAAGUACAUUCAUGAUGAUAAGUAACAAUAAAUAAAGAUAAAAUUAAAAAUAUUUAAUGUAAUAUGUUGAGUUCCAGGAGCCCAAUUACAAACACU
rnacentral:lncRNA from 1 species